CAAAUUGCUCCACAGAUGCUACAGCCAACGCUGCUCCUCGCUGUGGCUUCUCUGUUUUUGACACUCCACCGCUGCUUAAUUUACUCUAAUGCCUUCACCAUAGAUCACUUUAGCUUCUUACAACUCGAUUUACAACUCAUAACCUGGUGGACAUUCCCUAUAUCCUCUCCCAAAUCAUCUACUCAUCGGUCAGGUUUUUUUUGUUGUGUGCUGUUCCUUUGACUGUCCAUUGGGUGGCGAGCUACCAGAGAACCACCGAUACAGUGUGGUGGGAAAAAGUUCUCACAAACCUGCAUCCUCUGAUUUUGUUUUCCCAAUGG